CUUCUUAGUUGGAUUUGCAACUGAUGUGGAUGCUGUGGUUUACCUGAUGCUGGUCAAUGAUGUCAUUCAUGGACUUUAUCCCGAGGCUGUUAGCAUUGGUGAAGAUGUCAGUGGAAUGCCAGCAUUCUAUAUUCCUGUCCAAGACGGUGGCGUGGGCUUUGAUUACCGGCUUCACAUGGCAAUUGCUGAUAAAUGGAUUGAGCUUCUCAAGUAAGUUACUGAGAAGAUACCACUGGACUUCCUUGAAACUAGAAAUCUUCUGCAUAUACUUGUCACUUUUUGAAGAUUGCAAUUGUAGAUAUUACAUUAUGAGGAGAAUUUCUUUGUGCGUAGUUAUUAAAUCAUGGAAAAAGAAAUGCUGAAGGGAAGAAAAAGUAAGAACAACAAAACAUGGUAGACACGCUACCACUGUGAAGCAUGGAGUCAGAAGCGGAACUUGUCUAUAAAUGUAAAAAGUCCCGAAGAAAAAGACAAUGUGGUGGUCUUAUUGUUCAUAUGUAGUUUUACUAGCAAAUAUAUCAUUGUCUGAGACAGCCACGAAUUUAUAAGGUAUCCUCUACCUCGUGGAGUAUAUUUCACUAUCUCUAUAUAUGACUUAUGCUUCUUAA